AUUGAACGCUGGCGGCAGGCUUAACACAUGCAAGUCGAGCGGGGGAAGGUAGCUUGCUACCGGACCUAGCGGCGGACGGGUGAGUAAUGCUUAGGAAUCUGCCUAUUAGUGGGGGACAACAUCUCGAAAGGGAUGCUAAUACCGCGUACGUCCUACGGGAGAAAGCAGGGGAUCUUCGGACCUUGCGCUAAUAGAUGAGCCUAAGUCGGAUUAGCUAGUUGGUGGGGUAAAGGCCUACCAAGGCGACGAUCUGUAGCGGGUCUGAGAGGAUGAUCCGCCACACUGGGACUGAGACACGGCCCAGACUCCUACGGGAGGUAGCAGUGGGGAAUAUUGGACAAUGGGGGGAACCCUGAUCCAGCCAUGCCGCGUGUGUGAAGAAGGCCUUAUGGUUGUAAAGCACUUUAAGCGAGGAGGAGGCUACUCUAGUUAAUACCUAGGGAUAGUGGACGUUACUCGCAGAAUAAGCACCGGCUAACUCUGUGCCAGCCGCCGCCGUAA
rnacentral:rRNA from 1 species